rnacentral:rRNA from 1 species
CGAGAGCGUAUAUUAAAGUUGUUGCGGUUAAAAAAGCUCGUAGUCGAAGUUCUGCCAAGGUUGUUUGGUCCACCCCCUGGGUGUGCAUCUUGAUUAGCCUGGGCAUCUUUGUGAGGAACGCCACUGCACUUGAUUGUGUGGUGCGGUAUUCACAACUUUUACCUUGAGGAAAUUAGAGUGUUUCAAGCAGGCGUGUGCCUUGAAUACAUUAGCAUGGGAUAAUGAUGUAGGACAUUGAUUCUACCAGUUGGACUUUGGAGUCGAUGUAAUGAUAGAGAGGAAUAGUUGGGGGUUCUCGUAAUCACCACUUCAGAGGUGAAAUUCUUAAAUCGUGGAGCGACGAACCUUGGCGAAAGCCUUUAGCCAAGGAUGUUUUCAUUGAUCAAGAACGAAAGUUAGGGGAUCGAAGACGAU